GAUUAGUGGCGAACGGGUGAGUAACACGUGAGUAACCUGCCCUUGACUCUGGGAUAAGCCUGGGAAACUGGGUCUAAUACCGGAUAUGACUGCCUGACGCAUGUCAGGUGGUGGAAAGCUUUUGUGGUUUUGGAUGGACUCGCGGCCUAUCAGCUUGUUGGUGGGGUAAUGGCCUACCAAGGCGACGACGGGUAGCCGGCCUGAGAGGGUGACCGGCCACACUGGGACUGAGACACGGCCCAGACUCCUACGGGAGGCAGCAGUGGGGAAUAUUGCACAAUGGGCGCAAGCCUGAUGCAGCGACGCCGCGUGAGGGAUGACGGCCUUCGGGUUGUAAACCUCUUUCAGUAGGGAAGAAGCGAAAGUGACGGUACCUGCAGAAGAAGCGCCGGCUAACUACGUGCCAGCAGCCGCGGUAAUACGUAGGGCGCAAGCGUUAUCCGGAAUUAUUGGGCGUAAAGAGCUCGUAGGCGGUUUGUCGCGUCUGCUGUGAAAGACCGGGGCUCAACUCCGGUUCUGCAGUGGGUACGGGCAGACUAGAGUGAUGUAGGGGAGACUGGAAUUCCUGGUGUAGCGGUGAAAUGCGCAGAUAUCAGGAGGAACACCGAUGGCGAAGGCAGGUCUCUGGGCAUUAACUGACGCUGAGGAGCGAAAGCAUGGGGAGCGAACAGGAUUAGAUACCCUGGUAGUCCAUGCCGUAAACGUUGGGCACUAGGUGUGGGGGACAUUCCACGUUUUCCGCGCCGUAGCUAACGCAUUAAGUGCCCCGCCUGGGGAGUACGGCCGCAAGGCUAAAACUCAAAGGAAUUGACGGGGGCCCGCACAAGCGGCGGAGCAUGCGGAUUAAUUCGAUGCAACGCGAAGAACCUUACCAAGGCUUGACAUGAACCGGUAAUACCUGGAAACAGGUGCCCCGCUUGCGGUCGGUUUACAGGUGGUGCAUGGUUGUCGUCAGCUCGUGUCGUGAGAUGUUGGGUUAAGUCCCGCAACGAGCGCAACCCUCGUUCUAUGUUGCCAGCGCGUUAUGGCGGGGACUCAUAGGAGACUGCCCGGGGUCAACUCGGAGGAAGGUGGGGACGACGUCAAAUCAUCAUGCCCCUUAUGUCUUGGGCUUCACCGCAUGCUACAAUGGCCGGUACAAAGGGUUGCGAUACUGUGAGGUGGAGCUAAUCCCAAAAAGCCGGUCUCAGUUCGGAUUGGGGUCUGCAACUCGACCCCAUGAAGUCGGAGUCGCUAGUAAUCGCAGAUCAGCAACGCUGCGGUGAAUACGUUCCCGGGCCUUGUACACACCGCCCGUCAAGUCACGAAAGUUGG
rnacentral:rRNA from 1 species